AGAGUUUGAUCCUGGCUCAGAUUGAACGCUGGCGGCAGGCUUAACACAUGCAAGUCGAGCGGGGGAAGGUAGCUUGCUACCGGACCUAGCGGCGGACGGGUGAGUAAUGCUUAGGAAUCUGCCUAUUAGUGGGGGACAACAUCUCGAAAGGGAUGCUAAUACCGCAUACGUCCUACGGGAGAAAGCAGGGGAUCUUCGGACCUUGCGCUAAUAGAUGAGCCUAAGUCGGAUUAGCUAGUUGGUGGGGUAAAGGCCUACCAAGGCGACGAUCUGUAGCGGGUCUGAGAGGAUGAUCCGCCACACUGGGACUGAGACACGGCCCAGACUCCUACGGGAGGCAGCAGUGGGGAAUAUUGGACAAUGGGGGGAACCCUGAUCCAGCCAUGCCGCGUGUGUGAAGAAGGCCUUAUGGUUGUAAAGCACUUUAAGCGAGGAGGAGGCUACUUUAGUUAAUACCUAGAGAUAG
rnacentral:rRNA from 1 species